CCAGCCUGUCCUUGGAGCCUGACUCCUCGUUGAAGGCAUCAAUUUCCAAAAGUUUCAGCCCCAACUUUGUGUAAGUUUAUUGGUCUCCACCAUGCUGAGCAGGGCAUCUCCUGGGCUGGGUUUGGAACUGGCUGCAGUGGUGGUCUCAUAACUGCUAUAGUGCUUCUCCUGGUUCUGCACAGCUGCUGGAUGGACCUUGUCUGGCUGAGCUCCUGCAUAGGUGCACCAGCCAAGGCCUGGGCCAGGUUCCUCUCUGACCUUGUGCCAUCACUGCUCCCCACUGCUGCAUUUGUGUUUCUCAUAUCCACAGUUCCUGACUUCUCCAACCUCCUGCUGCAGCCUCUGUCACUUUGAGAGCUCCUUAAAGUAAUUACCUCAUGGAGGAACUUCAACUCGAGCCCUGCAGACAUUGUAGAAUGGAACAUUCCCAGGUUGCUGCACAGACCCUGUCACAUAGCCGGAAUUCAGGAGACGUGGCUUUUGUGGCAGCCCUGAGAGGCUGCCCCAAAGGCUCUUGGGAAGGCCAAAGGCCAGAAAAAGUGUAGGCUGCGUGUUCCAUGCUGCCCUGGGUGGUGGCGGUGGGAUGGCUGGGAGCAGGGUAGGGUGGGGUGGGGAGCUUUUUUACUGGUCCAUGAAGCAUGCAACAUGUGCUCUUCCAGGUGCAAGGACCUGGCUUGGGGGACGCCAGAUGGCAGACUCCCUCCCCUUGCACCUGCUGGGCAUGUGAAAGAAAGUCAAGAGCUUUUUACAGUCUACUUGAAGGAGAAUCAGCAUCGUUCCUCUCUAGCUUGAUGGAAGUAUCGUCCCACACGUUGUUUAGGUAGAGAUGCCUGGAAAAAUACUGAAUGACGUCAAACUAUAUGUCUUCUACUAACUCAGAAGUUGUAAGUACUGUAUGUACAUAUUGUUUUUCAAAUUACAUUGCUUUGUACAUUGGAAGUGUGUAGAAAGAGGGGAUGCGCUAAAUGUGGCUAAAUGAGUUUAACAAAGGUGCCCAAGAUCUGGACUGGUAACAGAUCCAAGAUUAGCUUAUGUUGUUUAAUGGGUAUUUAAAAAAAAUGUUUUUAAUCAGAUUCUUAGGGUGAGUAGAUUGAAACAGUUAAAUAUUUUCAGGUGAAAGAUUAGUAGACUAAGUACUGAAAGAUUUCUUCUACAUUGUCUACGGGGUAGAAUAUAUUAGGGAAUGAAAACUAACCCAGAAACAGAAAUGGGAAAAAAUUUGUUUAUACUUAAACUUAGCUAUAGCUAUAGGCAAAAAGCUUCCUAUUGACUAAGCAAAGGCAACCUUGCUUCUGAAGCAACCCGUCUUCACUCCAGCUACGGACCAUCAUCCUGAGAACUUUUGGCCUGAUGCCCAGGCAGGACAGGCAUCAAAUGGAGACGAGGUGUUAUUGCCAGCUAUGGUUACACAGUCAGAGAAACUGACAUAUUGAAAGACACAGGAUAUUAAGCAAUUUUAAACCGGACUAUUAUUUCUGGUUCUCACUGUGAGUAGAGCUUUAUGAAUGGAUUUUUAUAAAACUUGAGGCUACUCUAGUGAACCAAAUAAAUGAAUUCAGUGUUUACA
rnacentral:lncRNA from 1 species